CUGCAGCUCCCAGCUGGACAACCACCCCAUCAUCGAUCUCAGAUUAUUCGUGUGGUGGCUUGCUUUCCUCCUCAUCUGGUUCCUUACAGAGUCCAUUUUAUCCCAGCAAUUAUCCAAACAAUGUCAACUGUGUGUGGGAAAUACAAGUAAAGAACAACUUCCUUGUCACACUUGUAUUUGAAGAUAUUCAGAUGGAAGGUGGCCAAUGCCUCUCUGACUACGUGGAAAUCUACGAUGGGCCCGUCCACACCUCUCCUCUCCUGGGGAAGAUUUGUUCUGGUUAUUACCACAGUUACACAUCUUCCUCAAACCUGCUGACUGUCCUCUUUCACAGUAACUCUCGAUACACAUACAGAGGGUUUCAGGCYUACUAUUACUCCACUCCAGCUGAUGA